rnacentral:rRNA from 1 species
CUACGGGUAGCUGCAGUGGGGAAUAUUGGACAAUGGGGGAAACCCUGAUCCAGCAAUGCCGCGUGUGUGAAGAAGGCCUGCGGGUUGUAAAGCACUUUCGGUUGGGAGGACUGCUUCUAGCACUAAUAUUGUUGGAAGUUGACGUUACCUUCGGAAGAAGCACCGGCUAACUCCGUGCCAGCAGCCGCGGUAAUACGGAGGGUGCAAGCGUUAAUCGGAAUUACUGGGCGUAAAGCGCGCGUAGGCGGCUAGAUCAGUCGGGUGUGAAAGCCCCGGGCUUAACCUGGGAACUGCAUCCGAUACUGUCUAGCUUGAGUACAGGAGAGGAGAGUGGAAUUCCACAUGUAGCGGUGAAAUGCGUAGAUAUGUGGAGGAACACCAAUGGCGAAGGCAGCUCUCUGGCCUGAUACUGACGCUGAGGCGCGAAAGCGUGGGGAGCAAACAGGAUUAGAUACCCGCGUAGUC